rnacentral:tRNA from 1 species
UCCUGGGCCAUUAGCUCAGGUGGUUAGAGCGCACCCCUGAUAAGGGUGAGGUCCCCUGGUUCAAGUCCAGGAUGGCCCAU